UACAGAGGUCCCAAGCGUUGUUCGGAUUCAUUGGGCGUAAAGGGUGCGUAGGCGGCGCGGUAAGUCGGGUGUGAAAUCUCGGGGCUUAACUCCGAAACUGCAUUCGAUACUGCGGUGCUUGAGGACUGGGAGAGGAGACUGGAAUUCAUGGUGUAGCAGUGAAAUGCGUAGAGAUCAUGAGGAAGACCAGUGGCGAAGGCGGGUCUCUGGACAGUUCCUGACACUGAGACACGAAGGCCAGGGGAGCAAACGGG
rnacentral:rRNA from 1 species